AAAGCCGGAUUAAUACCGCAUACGCUCUGUGGAGGAAAGCGGGGGAUCUUCGGACCUCGCGCUCAAGGGGCGGCCGAUGGCAGAUUAGCUAGUUGGUGGGGUAAAGGCCUACCAAGGCGACGAUCUGUAGCUGGUCUGAGAGGACGACCAGCCACACUGGGACUGAGACACGGCCCAUUACUCCUACGGGAGGCAGCAGUGGGGAAUUUUGGACAAUGGGGGCAACCCUGAUCCAGCAAUGCCGCGUGUGUGAAGAAGGCCUUCGGGUUGUAAAGCACUUUUGUCCGGAAAGAAAACCUCUGGGUUAAUACCCUGGGGGGAUGACGGUACCGGAAGAAUAAGCACCGGCUAACUACGUGCCAGCAGCCGCGGUAAUACGUAGGGUGCGAGCGUUAAUCGGAAUUACUGGGCGUAAAGCGUGCGCAGGCGGUUCGCU
rnacentral:rRNA from 1 species